rnacentral:lncRNA from 1 species
AGCUGGAGCGUUCGGUGGACAGUGAGCAUGCGUACCAUAUCUGAAGUUCGUAAAUUGAAAUUGAACAUGCGUAAUUAAUCUUUCUGAAUAGGAAAAAAUAUAUACACAACAAAACUCUCCGUUUAUGGAACAUGCGCAUUUGUUCUCAGUAAGUUUUUCGUUUUGAAAGUGAGCAUGCGCAUGGUGAGUAGGUUGGUCCGAAGUUUGAACCGGACAGAAGCGCUGGUCGGCGUCUGGCGUUCCAAUUGCCCGGGCUGUUCUUGUUGACAUGGAACCCAAAGUUAUCAAUCAAAUGCUGUCAAAGGCUGCCCAGUCUGGCCAAUGGAAAUAUGGUCAACAUGCAUGCUUCUGUCAAAAACAAGGUUCUGGAAACAACUGGGCAUAUGGUUACUCUGUUCAUGGACCCAGGCAUGAAGAAUCUAUAAUGAACAUAAUCCGGAAGGAAGUGGAGAAAUGUGACUCUUUCAGUGGUUUUUUCAUCAUAAUGAGUAUGGCUGGGGGCACAGGAUCAGGAUUAGGAGCUUUCGUUACACAGAAUUUAGAAGAUCAGUACUCAAACU